rnacentral:rRNA from 1 species
UUAAUUGAAGAGUUUGAUCAUGGCUCAGAUUGAACGCUGGCGGCAGGCCUAACACAUGCAAGUCGAGCGGUAACAGGAGAAAGCUUGCUUUCUUGCUGACGAGCGGCGGACGGGUGAGUAAUGUAUGGGGAUCUGCCCGAUAGAGGGGGAUAACUACUGGAAACGGU